CGUCCUCAGCGACGGACCGGGCC
rnacentral:snRNA from 1 species